rnacentral:rRNA from 1 species
UACGGAGGGUGCAAGCGUUAUCCGGAUUCACUGGGUUUAAAGGGUGCGUAGGUGGGCAGGUAAGUCCGUGGUGAAAUCUCUGAGCUUAACUCAGAAACUGCCGUGGAUACUAUUUGUCUUGAAUGUAGUUGAGGUAGGCGGAAUGUGACAAGUAGCGGUGAAAUGCAUAGAUAUGUCACAGAACACCAAUUGCGAAGGCAGCUUACUAAGCUAUGAUUGACGCUGAGGCACGAAAGCGUGGGGAUCAAACAGG